UCCAAUGUGGUGUAGUGGCUAACAUUGCUGUCUUUCAUGUCUUUCCAUGUUCUAAUCACAGCAGCCCGGGGUUCGAUUCCCCGCAUUGGAA